CUGGAAUUGAAAUUAUUCGACAUUCUAUUGAGGUUAUUCGUAGUUGCUUUGAAUUUGAGCUCAUCAUAUUCGGCAGUAUUUUUGAUUACUCGUUUUGAAUGGAACUUGCGGCGAAAUAUAGGAGGAUGGAGGCUCCAGUCUUCAUACAGCCAUCCUGACUUGAGUUUUCCAUGGUUUCUCAAAAUAAAUUCAGGAAAUUUAGGAUGAUUCCUACUAUAUGGUCACAGCCAACUACCUUUCCAUCCUUGUCAUACUAUACCCUUUGCAGAGACGGCGAGUUCACAGAUGAUGCCAUAGGAACCACUAGUGGGUUUAAAGUGAGUAUACAGCAGUCAUUUCUGACCUCUAAUGAUGUGUAAUUAUCUUAAAAAUAUAAACUAGAUGGUGAGUUGUUAUCUUUCCUCCUUCCAUUAUUCGCACUGCAUCAUUUUAUUGAUAUACAAUUUUGAUAAAAUAAUACCACAUAAUGAGCUAGUUAAUUGUAAACAGGCUGAGUAUCUGGGGCAGUUACAUGAUGCUUCACAAGCCCUGCAUCAACUACUCACUGACACCCCUACCUAGCUUGUUGAGUGUAUGGACGAGCUUGCGAGCAGUAUUACAGUCCUGCAGGUUCUGCAAACUGUGCAGCCGCCUCCGGACCAGGUCACUCAACUUGACAGCCUCCAGCUCUCGCCACACCUCAUAACCGCCCACUCUGGCCCAUUCAUCAGUGUCUGACUUUAGGGACCUAUCUUCAAGAGACAGUUAGUUGCAAUGUCAAUUAACAGUUCACUGAGUGACCUGAACUGGAGAAUGUUGAAAAAAGUUAUUGGUGCACAAAAAGCACACCUAGGGAACAAGAGGUAUCAAAGUAGUUUUGGAAUAGUCGCAAACAGCUGUCACAUCAAUCUGUUUGCUGUGCUAUCUCUUACAAACUAAGAGAUCAUAAUUGGGCCUCAAAACAUCAGCAUAAAGUACACAAUACAAGUCAUAAAUGAGGAAACAUUUAAGAUGAGCAGCUGAAACACACCAUCCAAAACAUAUACUAGAGUAGUAAAUGUAUUGAGGUAUGGUUUUCACUAAGUUAUAGCAGAUAAUGUGGUGAA